UGCAUCUUAAAGGUUGAAUCAUAGUUCUAUGGGGACAGAGGGCCAAGAGAGGAAUUCUAAGAAGAAGAGGAAUUCUAAGAAGAAGAGGAAUUCUAAGAAGAAAGAACAGCUUGUGCUAUUCCUGGCAGAUGUGACCUUGGAGUCCUGGUGUGGUAAAGUGAAUCGGCUGCAGAGGCCUGCCAGAACUCAGAGGUCCUGCCUCCUAGAGCCUUAGCUUCCCUAAUCCGGCAGAGAUCCUCUCCAGAAAGGGUAUCAGCAGCACAAAGGCUGUCUCAAGAUGAGGUGCACCCUGAGAUCAGUCUUCCUACCUCUGACUGGGAAGACUGGCAGCGGACCCGGGAUGCCUUGUGAAAUGCACAGCCUGGUGAUCCACACCAACCUACAGACCAGAAUUUUUAUGACCAGUCAUCACAUUUCUCUCCAAUAUCUAGAACCUUUGGGUAGGAUAAGAGACUUCAAUUAAAAUGCAAUCUUCCCCUUUGA